AUUGCUGCUGUCCUUCACCUAAAACAUUUACAACAUACUAAAAUUUAAAUGAUGCCCUUGAUGUUGAUGCUUCUUAUGAGAGGUAAGGACUCUUGACUGAUCUCAUUCCUGAAGCAUCAUACACUUGCCACCUAGGUGGACUUGCUUGCUUCCUGCUUGCUUGAAUUUGUGCAUCUGUACUUAAUUGCAGAAGCAUAAAUAGAUAUUAGACAGAAUAAAUGUAGUCGAUUGUUUGAACACAAUGCUUACCUGUCUUAAGAGCGGAUCUGGGAAGCAGUAGACACAUUAUUCUCUGUUGAUUCUAAGUUUAUUCAUUCUGAUUACAACGGGAUGAUGACAUAGCAUCAGAAAUUUCAUGCACUCCCUGAAUCAUAACCUAUUUUACAUGAGCAUCUGGAAUUCUAAUCUUGACUCCAAACAGCAGGCUCUAACUCUAUCAGCUCUAAGGUUCACAUCUUCUGAUGACGACAGGGUUCUAUCCUGUCAAGGGCCAAGACUCCCACCACUCAGAAGGAGUGGUGCAGCACUGUUCCGGAGAACUACUGCAGUUGAAAUCGCAUGGUUGCUCAAUUGAUGUCAGGUAGCCACUCUCAGGUUCUCUCAUGUAUAAAUAUUCUGCUUCUUUCUGAUUGAAAAAGCUUAGAUUCUUCUCUUCAUCACCUGAACACACUAACAAGCAGGGCCUCGCAUCCUCCUCGCGCUUGCCAUUGCUGCAGUUGGAAUCGCCGUCAUUACUGCUCGCUUCUGAUGGCUUAUUCAGCAAUUCAGUAAGCUUUUGCGACUGUAUGAUCCGAAAUUAUAUUAUCACAUGCUUCGCAAGACAAA
rnacentral:lncRNA from 1 species